rnacentral:rRNA from 1 species
UUGCUCUUCAACGAGGAAUGCCUAGUAAGCGCGUGUCAUCAGCACGCGUUGAUUACGUCCCUGCCCUUUGUACACACCGCCCGUCGCUACUACCGAUUGAAUGGCUCAGUGAGGCCUUCGGACUGGCUCGAGGAGGUUGGCAACGACCACCUCGAGCCGGAAAGUUCGUCAAACUCGGUCAUUUAGAGGAAGUAAAAGUCGUAACAAGGUUUCCGUAGGUGAACCUGCGGAAGGAUCAUUACCUGGCCUUGGGCCGCUCGCGGGGGCUCGUCGCUUGCGACGGUGCUCUCAGGGGUGCUUAGCCCUUGAUCAUCACCUUGACUAUACGCACCUUUGUUGUUCCCUCGGCAGCUCGCUGCCGCCAGGGACCCCAAAACCCUUUUGCAUCAGCAUCAAACUUCUGAAAACCAAUUUAAUUAUUUACAACUUUCAACAAUGGAUCUCUUGGUUCUGGCAUCGAUGAAGAACGCAGCGAAAUGCGAUAAGUAGUGUGAAUUGCAGAAUUCAGUGAAUCAUCGAAUCUUUGAACGCACAUUGCGCCCCUUGGUAUUCCAUGGGGCAUGCCUGUUCGAGCGUCAUUUACACCCUCAAGCUCUGCUUGGUGUUGGGCGUCUGUCCCGCUUCGCGCGCGGACUCGCCCCAAACGUAUUGGCAGCGGUUUUGCCAGCUUCUCGCGCAGCACAUUGCGCUUCUCGAGGCUCCGGCGGAUCGGCGUCCAUCAAGACUCCACAGUUUGACCUCGGAUCAGGUAGGGAUACCCGCUGAACUUAAGCAUAUCAAUAAGCGGAGGA